rnacentral:rRNA from 1 species
GUGAGUAACGCGUGAGAAUCUAGCUCUAGGUCGGGGACAACCACUGGAAACGGUGGCUAAUACCGGAUGUGCCGAAAGGUGAAAGAUUUAUUGCCUAGAGAUGAGCUCGCGUCUGAUUAGCUAGUUGGUGUGGUAAGAGCGCACCAAGGCGACGAUCAGUAGCUGGUCUGAGAGGAUGAUCAGCCACACUGGGACUGAGACACGGCCCAGACUCCUACGGGAGGCAGCAGUGGGGAAUUUUCCGCAAUGGGCGAAAGCCUGACGGAGCAAUACCGCGUGAGGGAGGAAGGCUCUUGGGUUGUAAACCUCUUUUCUCAGGGAAUAAGAAAGUGAAGGUACCUGAGGAAUAAGCAUCGGCUAACUCCGUGCCAGCAGCCGCGGUAAUACGGAGGAUGCAAGCGUUAUCCGGAAUGAUUGGGCGUAAAGCGUCCGCAGGUGGCACUGUAAGUCUGCUGUUAAAGAGCAAGGCUCAACCUUGUAAAGGCAGUGGAAACUACAGAGCUAGAGUACGUUCGGGGCAGAGGGAAUUCCUGGUGUAGCGGUGAAAUGCGUAGAGAUCAGGAAGAACACCGGUGGCGAAAGCGCUCUGCUAGGCCGUAACUGACACUGAGGGACGAAAGCUAGGGGAGCGAAUGGGAUUAGAUACCCCAGUAGUCCUAGCCGUAAACGAUGGAUACUAGGCGUGGCUUGUAUCGACCCGAGCCGUGCCGGAGCCAACGCGUUAAGUAUCCCGCCUGGGGAGUACGCACGCAAGUGUGAAACUCAAAGGAAUUGACGGGGGCCCGCACAAGCGGUGGAGUAUGUGGUUUAAUUCGAUGCAACGCGAAGAACCUUACCAAGAAUUGACAUGUCGCGAAUCUUCUUGAAAGGGAAGAGUGCCUUAGGGAGCGCGAACACAGGUGGUGCAUGGCUGUCGUCMGCUCGUGUCGUGAGAUGUUGGGUUAAGUCCCGCAACGAGCGCAACCCUCGUUUUUAGUUGCCAGCAUUAAGUUGGGCACUCUAGAGAGACUGCCGGUGACAAACCGGAGGAAGGUGGGGAUGACGUCAAGUCAGCAUGCCCCUUACGUCUUGGGCUACACACGUACUACAAUGCUACGGACAGAGGGCAGCAAGCUAGCGAUAGCAAGCAAAUCCCGUAAACCGUAGCUCAGUUCAGAUCGCAGGCUGCAACUCGCCUGCGUGAAGGAGGAAUCGCUAGUAAUUGCAGGUCAGCAUACUGCAGUGAAUUCGUUCCCGGGCCUUGUACACACCGCCCGUCACACCAUGGAAGCUGGUCACGCC